rnacentral:lncRNA from 1 species
UACUUACAACUCCAUUUAUACAAAUGUCGUACAAAAUACGACGACUCAUAUAUUGUGAGUUUCAAUACAAAUAUUGUUACGUAUAUAAUACGACAAUACUCAUAUUUAAAUUAUUACAAUGCCAUAUAAAGUACACCAGCAAAUGUAUCAAGUCCCCGAAGGGACACGAGAAGAUUUCUGUUCUCCUCAUUCUAAUGGAGUGCACCUUUGACGUUUCCAAAUUCUGAUUCACCUCACCCUAUUAUAGUUCACCAAAAUUAAAUAUCAAAUGAUGUAUAAAACAUGUCACACAUUUUAAGUUCUCAGUACAAUUAUUAUGCCACGCCGUUUUAUAAUUUGAUUAGGCUUGUGACUAAUUUGUAUCACCACUUUAUACCCAUGUUCUCUCUGCUAGUCCCAGCUACACUUUUAUUACCUGAAAGGGGUGGUGAAGUAAAAGGGUGAGCACAAAUAGCCCAGUAAAGAAUAUCAUGACUUAAGAUAAUUAAAUUAUCAAAAGAAUUUAGAUAUUUAUAACAUAUGGUAGAAGAUAAAAGUUUUCAACCAUAAUAGCAGCGGAAUCAACAAUCCAUUAGAAGAAUCAAGUAGAACAUAAUGUCUACUAUCUCCCAUAGAUUAAAAGUCCAUCGUUAAUAUUUCAUUCAUGUAAUACUCAUCAACAGUUCUUGGUUAUACCCAAGACAAAGAGAACUCUCAUCACCUGUCUUCACCUGAACCACCACAGAUUAUAAUUAAAUAACAAUUCAUAUUUAUAAUCAAGUAAAUCAACAGUCCAACUUUGCACUACAUGCCAAAGAUAUACAACUGUAAAACCAAUAAUGUUGAGACUCAACUUAAUAGUAUCACGACCACGAAUUAUCCAUGCACUACGGGCCAAGGAUAUUCGUGUUUUCAAUUACGAUCAUGAUUAUACCGAAUAAUCCCUGGUCAUAAUUAUACCAAGUCCAUCUAUGUACUACGGGCCAAAGAUGACUUUUACCACAUCAUUUAUAACAUUACGGUCAUGGUUAUACCGAAUAAUCCCUGGUUAUAAUCAUACCAAGUCCAUCUAUGCACUACGGGCCAAAGAUGACUUUCAACACAAUAUAAGUAUGAGAAUGAUGACAAUGAUAUAUAUAAUGAAUAAACAUAAAUCAUCAUAAUAAUAAGAUAACAUAGAUCUUAAUGAUUUUCAACUUAAUUAUCCAGAGUCUAAAUUGAUAACAUAAUAAUAAAUGAAGCACAAACUAUUAAGAAUAUUCUAAUCCUUUCAGGACUUUUCACCAUUUAAAGAUAAACUGAAUAAACGAAUAAUAAUAUCUUAUCAUAAUAUGGAGUAUGAAAGAAAAUGAUAUUCUUUUUACCAUAAAAAUGAUACCUCCUUACCACAAUAAUGAUAUCCUUUACCUUUAGCAUGUGACUUGAUUCUGAUUUCUAUGAAAUUGAUUAACUUAAACAAUGCUUGCAUUCCUUAUCUACACUUGGAGUAACAUUACACUCAAUAGAAAUACUCACAAUAUUAUACUCACAAUAUUGAAGUAAAAGAAUUAUAUAUUUUCAAUGUAGUGAUGGUGUGUCUUUAGUGGCUCAACCUGGCAACCUAUUUAUACUGAAAAUUUAGUAAACAACUAGCACACCUGCUUUGACAAAAUAAUCACAUGAGGUAUAUAAUAAUGGUAGUGGAAUUUAUGGCCCCACGGAGAAAAUUAAACCAACUUGUACACGUUUUAACAAAAUUUGUUCAAUAAUAGAGUUGUGGUCCAUACUACUUUAGAAAAAGUAGAGUGUCGGCAAGUCCUGCCAAACUUAUUUUUGUAAAAAGAAAAUAAUUGAACAAACAUCUGUAUAUCAUAUUUAUCUUUAAUCAACACCCUUUUAUUUAUCAAUUAUUUACACAUUUUAAAUCUUUCAACAAUUUAUUCAUAAUUAUUAACAUAGACUCACAAUACUGUCAACUGGUUUAAUUAUAUCAUAUCAAAUAAUAUGAGUCGUUGUGCAAUAACUACUAUGACAAUUAUUGAAUGAAAGACUGAGUGACUUCUUACGUAAUUAAGAAUCAAUAAUAUAAAUCACUAUGCAAUAAUUACUGUGACAAUUAUUGAAUAAAAUACAUGGUGACUUCUUACGUAAGAAUCAAAUCAACACCUUACUAUGAACAAUUUAAAUUCUAUUAAAAGUAGGGAUCAGAUCAACACCAAAUCAUAUUCAUCUCGAAUAACACAUAAACCAACUAACAAUUCAUUUUUCAUUCAAGUUAUCUCUAUUUAUCGCAUACAAUCAUUAUUCAUAUUCCAAAACUUUAGAAGUGGAUAAUAAAACUUGAGAAAUCUAAAAGCUCAUAUAUGACAAUCCACUAUUCUGGUAUUAUCACCAUUUUUACUUUAACAAAAAUAUUAUUUUUGUUUUUAUCAUAACUCAUUCGUUACUAGUGCGUUUACAUCCCGACACCUCGUGAGCUUACUAACAUUUCUAAAAUAUUUAAAAAUAUGAUUCUGAAUUUUCCAAAUAAUUUUCAUAUUUUUUCAGAUUAACCAACAAUUUUCAAUAAUUAUUUCUAUUUACAAAAACUAUCAUUUAAUAGCUUCAAAAUAGAAAUACUAACUCCAUAUACUUUUAUAUCUUGAAAACAUCAUCAAUAUUAAUCUUACAUUAUUAUAAUAUUUUUAAGCAAAAAUCAUAAAUUUCCACCAUUCAUAGAAUUCCUAUGAAUUUCUUUUAUUUUUAAACUAACCAUAAAUAGUUUUAAAAUAUAAUAAAUAUUUUUGUUAUUCAAUAAUUUUCCAAAACUAUCCAGAACUUAUAAAAUAACAUUAUAAGAUUUUUCACCAAAUAUCAUAAUUUUUCAUCAUUCAAAGAAUUUUCUAUGAAUUUCCUCCAUUUUUAAACUAACCAUAAAUAGUUUAAAAAUAUAAUAAAUAUUUCUGCUUUUCAAUAAUUCAUCAAAAUUUGACAGAAAUUCUAAGAUAAUACUAUAAGCAUUCUGUAAAAAUAUUUCAACCCAAAUAAUUUUUCUGAUAAAUUAAUCAUAAACUCUAAUAUUCAGAAAUUUCAAUAAUUCAUAACAAUUACCCUUUCAUCAGAAAAAUAAGGAUCCUAAGCCCUUUCCAUGUAAAAUUUAAUUAUCUACAACUUUGUAGAAGAAAUUUUUCCCAAAUUCUAACUCUAACAUAGAGAAAUAGUCUUACCGAAAUUUCUGCUCAAAGAUUUUUGAACCAGCCACCUCACAAAAUUCAUAACAAAUUAUAUGUUAAUCUUUAACGGUUCAAAAUUUGUGGACAUGUACUCAAAUUAUAUAUGUAUAACAUAUCCGAAAAUCACAACGAUCCAACGGUCGGAUUAAAAAUUAUAACUCACGCAAUAAAGCUUAAUAAAACUAAUUUUUCAGACUAUAAGUCAUUCAGACCAAUUUCACUCAAACUGUCACCACGAAAAAUCUACAAAGAUUUUUUGGGUGAUUCAAAUUUUUGCAUUUAUCUUACUUCCAGGGCUUUUUUUUUGAUAUAUAGCUCAUCUCCUAACUAAUGCACAAAGAGUUAUAGAUUUUACAAAAUCAAGUAGUAAACUAAUUUUUAUGAAAAUUUCCAGAUUUUUCUUUUCAUUUGAUUUCUUGAUUUCUCUCACUUGAUUCAUGCUUAUACAAGUUUAAAUCAUUAAAUACACACCUAAGUAUGUACUCUUUACAUAAAAUCUAUAAACUAAAAUUAUCAAGAUUUUGAAAAAUACCUUUCUUGAUUUCUUUUUCAUUUCUUCUUUAUUUCUUCAUUUCUUUCUUCUUCUUCUUCUUCUUCUUCUUCUUCUUCUUCUUCCUCUCUUCCUCUAUCUUCUCUCUUGCUUAAAAUUGGGCUACGGGAAGGAGUAUAGGAAUGAAGAAAGUCAUCAUUUUCUUCUUUCUCUCUCUCUCUCUCUCCUCUUUAUUUCUUUCCCUCUUUCUUCUUUUCUUUUUCUCUCUUCUCUCUUUUCUCUCUUUUUAUUUUACUAAAGUUGGCUACGGG